GACGAACGCUGGCGGCGUGCUUAACACAUGCAAGUCGAACGGAGCUGUUUAUUUCGGUAGAUAGCUCAGUGGCAAACGGGUGAGUAACGCGUAGGCAACCUGCCCUUAGGAUGGGGACAACGGCCCGAAAGGACCGCUAAUACCGAAUGCACUCUAACUUCCGCAUGGAAGAAAGAGGAAAGAUGGUGCAAGCCAUCGCCGAAGGAAGGGCCUGCGUCUGAUUAGCCAGUUGGUGAGGUAACGGCUCACCAAAGCAACGAUCAGUAGCCGGUCUGAGAGGAUGAACGGCCACAAUGGGACUGAGACACGGCCCAUACUCCUACGGGAGGCAGCAGUGGGGAAUCUUCCGCAAUGGGCGAAAGCCUGACGGAGCAACGCCGCGUGAGUGAAGAAGGUCUUCGGAUCGUAAAGCUCUGUUGUUGGGGACGAAAGGAAAAGGGAGGAAAUGCCCUUUUAAG
rnacentral:rRNA from 1 species